GGGAGGCAGCAGUGGGGAAUAUUGCACAAUGGGCGCAAGCCUGAUGCAGCAACGCCGCGUGAGGGAUGACGGCCUUCGGGUUGUAAACCUCUUUUAGCAGGGAAGAAGCGAAAGUGACGGUACCUGCAGAAAAAGCGCCGGCUAACUACGUGCCAGCAGCCGCGGUAAUACGUAGGGCGCAAGCGUUAUCCGGAAUUAUUGGGCGUAAAGAGCUCGUAGGCGGUUUGUCGCGUCUGCUGUGAAAUCCGGAGGCUCAACCUCCGGCCUGCAGUGGGUACGGGCAGACUAGAGUGCGGUAGGGGAGAUUGGAAUUCCUGGUGUAGCGGUGGAAUGCGCAGAUAUCAGGAGGAACACCGAUGGCGAAGGCAGAUCUCUGGGCCGUAACUGACGCUGAGGAGCGAAAGGGUGGGGAGCAAACAGGCUUAGAUACCCUGGUAGU
rnacentral:rRNA from 1 species